rnacentral:tRNA from 1 species
UUAAAUUUUGAAAAGAUAGACUAUUUUUAAGUCUUUAGACUCAUAAUCUAACAAAAAAUUUUAAAAUUUUCUUUUUA